AUUUCAGAGUGCGUAAAUAGAAUCGUUCGUACAGAAUCAUUUCCGUUUUGGAAAACCAUGGGCAUCACCACAGGCUGUCUUAGAACAGAAGCCCAAAACCAUGUGCUGCUUACUCAUUUGACAAAUUAACAAUAAUAAAGAACUAAUCAUUCAAGCAUGUAUAGCUUAUUUAAUUAGUUGUAUGUCUCCACUAGCAAACCCAACAACAAUCCAUCCAUCUUAGGUGCAUAACAGAGAAGGAAACAAAUGAAAGACAUCACAGUACAGCAAAGACUGGUUUCUCCAACAGAGACCCAAAUGUUAAAGGGCUUAGGGGGUGGGGGUGGGGGUGGUAGUGGUGUUAGGUUUUUGAAUGAUAAAGGACAUGCACUGACCCUGGUGCUUGUUGUCAAAUGCUAAGCAGCGAAUAUAAGCAUUUGGGUAUGCUUUUUUUGCAUUCAUGGAUUUCAUUGAGCACUUGAGAUGAGUCAUUGCAUCCAAACAUGGGGAGCUUCCACAUUGUCCAAUAUCUCCCAUCAUAGUAUCCUGGCAUCCGGCUAUUUUCUCUAUGCACAUGCCCCACCUCAUCGAAUUCAAGGCAAGGGAUCCAUUCCUUUUUAAUCAUGUAGUCAAUCUCCCUUGCAAUUGAAUCAUCAGAAAGUGCAGGAAGGUAGGACAAAGUCUCAUACUUCUUGUUAUUGAUUGGGUUCCAUGUCUUCAUACAAUGAGUUCUUGAGCCAUUGGAGACAGUUUUGCUGCUCCAUGCAAUAGAUUCAUUUGCAGGGAACAGUUGCUUUGUUGUGUUGGCUUUUAGGCCGCUGUAACCAGACCCAGCAACCAGAGCUGUAAAGAUCCCGGCGGCCGACAUCUUCUUGAACGAUACCAAGGAAAGAGAGAGGCAGAAGAGUAGAAGGACAACUGAUCUUAGUAGUUUUACUUGAAAAUAUGACAGAAAUGGUUCAGGAAACGGACAAAAGGGGCUGGCUUGGGUGUUUGUGAGAUGCUAAGCUUAGUGGAUUUGUUAGUGAGGACAACGGGCACAAGACGGUGGAGCGUUU
rnacentral:misc_RNA from 1 species